rnacentral:lncRNA from 1 species
UGCGCGGUCCCCGCAACCCCUCUCCGCCCACCCCGGCGGCCACCUCGGGGGUGAGGCAGCCCGGCGCGUGGGAGGGGACGGCGCGCCAUUGGCUUGUGUGCGGAACUAGAGGAGGGACCAGUGGGGCCGCCAGACUAGGGCGAGCCCGGCGGCGCAGGAGUCCAGCCGGCCCUGCCCUGCCCUGCCCUGCCCUGCCGUGCCCUGCCUACCCCGCGCGGCGGCGCGAUGUGAGGCGUCCCGGGCCGGAGCGUCCGCCCGUACGCCAGCUCCGCGAGCGCGGCGCCCCACGCGCUAGGAACGUAAGUCCACUCCCCGCCGCCGCGAGCCUAGCACUUCCCGCAGCCGCCGGCCGCUGCCUGCGCAGCGCAGCCCGCGGGCGCCCGGGGCCGCAACGACCGCCGGGGACAGCGAUCACAUCGCGCGCGCCCGCCCAGCCCCGGGACAGCUUGGCACCUGCGGGUCCGUGAGCACCCGGGACCCUCUCCCGGCUGCGCAAGGCGACGUCCGCUGCUUCUUCUGUUUGUCCCCUUCUCUUUCUCUCCUCCCUCUGACUUGGUUUCCCUCUCUUCCCUCGGCUUUCUGCCUCCGCCACCUCCUUCCUCUAGGACUGUUUAUUUCGCACUCGGCCCUCCCUUCUCGGGCUCGCACUCUCUGCUUCGUAGCGCGCGAGAAACAGAGCGAAAAGCAGUUUCGCUGUCGCUGGGGUCUCCGUCCCCUCCUCCCUCGUCUCUCUCCACCGCACCCUCCCGCCUUUGUUUCCUGGCCCGGGGAGUGCGCGUUGCAAACUUGCGAGUUCCUCGGUCUUCACCCCCGCAUCAAGGCCAGGAACCGAGAUGCUGGCGGAGUUCCCACUGCCCACAGCCUGUCGUCCUCCCCUGACACUCCUCUCUUCCUGGCCUGGCGAACCCUAAAGACUUCAUAUGGCUUUGCCUUGAUGUCACCUAGGCGCUGCCAUCUCAGGGGCUGCAGCAGAGGAGAGGAGUGAGAGGGGGCUGCAAAGAGCCCCUAGGCCUGCAAAGAGCCUUGUGCUGCUCCCCGCUCAUCAGUUCAGUCAGGUACUGGUGGAGUUCCUGAACCAGGCACUGUCCCAGCACAGAGACAGAAGUGCCAGGCAUCAGAAAUGCCAGUGCCUUCUGAGGUGGGGGGUCAGGCUGGGUCCAGCAUUCCUAUCUAGUCCUCUCCUCACCAUGGUUUG